rnacentral:rRNA from 1 species
GAUGAACGCUGGCGGCGUGCCUAAUACAUGCAAGUCGAGCGAACAGAUAAGGAGCUUGCUCCUUUGACGUUAGCGGCGGACGGGUGAGUAACACGUGGAUAACCUACCUAUAAGACUGGGAUAACUUCAGGAAACCGGAGCUAAUACCGGAUAACAUAUUGAACCGCAUGGUUCAAUAGUGAAAGGCGGCUUUGCUGUCACUUAUAGAUGGAUCCGCGCCGUAUUAGCUAGUUGGUAAGGUAACGGCUUACCAAGGCAACGAUACGUAGCCGACCUGAGAGGGUGAUCGGCCACACUGGAACUGAGACACGGUCCAGACUCCUACGGGAGGCAGCAGUAGGGAAUCUUCCGCAAUGGGCGAAAGCCUGACGGAGCAACGCCGCGUGAGUGAUGAAGGUCUUCGGAUCGUAAAACUCUGUUAUCAGGGAAGAACAAAUGUGUAAGUAACUGUGCACAUCUUGACGGUACCUGAUCAGAAAGCCACGGCUAACUACGUG